rnacentral:rRNA from 1 species
GAGAAUCUUCGGGGUAUUAAGUGGCGAACGGGUGAGUAACGCGUGGGUAACCUGCCCUUUNAUACGGGGAUAACUUGCCGAAAGGUGAGCUAAUACCGGAUGUCUAUCUUGGUUGCAUGACUGGGAUAGUAAAGGUGGCCUCCGAAUAUGCUACCGUAAAAGGAUGGACCCGCGUCUGAUUAGCUAGUUGGUGAGGUAAUGGCUCACCAAUGCGACGAUCAGUAUCCGGCCUGAUAUGGUGAACGGCCACACUGGGACUGAUACACUGCCCAUACUCCUACUGGAGGCAUCAGUGGGGAAUCUUCCGCAAUGGACGAAAGUCUGACGGAUCAACUCCUCGUGAGUGACUAAUGUCUUCUGAUUGUAAAACUCUGUUGUUUGGGACGAACGGCUCAUAUGUGAAUAAUGUAUGAGAUUGACUGUACCAAAUGAGGAAUCCCCGGCUAACUACGUGCCAUCAGCCGCGGUAAU